GUAGCCACUUUAACUAUUUAUUUUCAAUACUGCAACCGCACAGAGUACUCGGUCAUACGUUGUACUAACUUAACGAUAGAGAUCACAUCGUUUACAAUAUUUGAAGUUUGUGAGUUUGAUAAUAUUAAUCCAGAAAAAAUGAAAGUUUCUUUAAAAAAUAUCAAGAUCCUACUUCUAAUAAUAACGUGUUGUUUACUCGGCUCCGCAUACAGUGUUUCCCUCUUUGGUGUCGAUUUCACAGCACCAGUAAAAAUUGUGAAAACUGGAAUCGGAAAAAUAACGAAACCACUACACCCACUUUCAACAUUACAACCUACACUACAAUCUUCAACAAAUAAGUUAACUCAGGAAAACAACCUCUCUACACGCAAGCCAAUCAAAGACGAC